UGAUAGGCACCAACAAGAUGAACAACGAUUGCAACAUUAGCGAUGUCUAAUAGCCAGUAGGGGUUGUAGAAUCCAAAGCCAGUCAAAAGAUUUCCAGGGGCCAAAUCACCAAAAGCUGCAUAGCCCAUGCAUCCACAGAGUGGAGAUCUUAUUGUAUCCUGCAAAUGAAAAGGCAAGCACAGGUAUCAAUUGUUGGACUACUAAAUUUACCCUCAAUGACUGUUCCUUAAAAUGUAGUCAAAGUAUUACCUGAAUUUCGAUGAGGAUAAUGGAGAACGAGUAAGCAAAGGCAAUGGCUCCAAGAGCUUGCAAACUUCUCCAUAGUUUCUGUGUAGAAGUAACUGGUCCAGCAUGUGUUUCCGUCCCUAUACUGAUACCAGUCAGGCUUCCUUUGAAGGUUCCAUUUCCUGCAAAUGAGAGUGCAGAGGUGUUCUUUGAACUUCAUUAUACACACGACUCAAAUUCCUAUGCUUGUACUAAGUCUUUCCAUUUAAUAUCUUUGCUGCUGAAGUAAUUUCUAGAUUUGAUCUGUUUCUGUAAAUAAUGAAUAAUGAGAUAAUCAGAAUCACAAUGAUGUAAUUAUUUUUGUAUACCUGCAACUUUGCCUA